rnacentral:rRNA from 1 species
CCUACGGGGGGCAGCAGUGAGGAAUAUUGGUCAAUGGGCGGAAGCCUGAACCAGCCAAGUAGCGUGCAGGAUGAAGGCCCUACGGGUUGUAAACCGCUUUUGCACGGGGAUAACACCCUCCAUUUAUGGAGGUCUGCAGGUACCUUGCGAAUAAGGGCCGGCUAACUCCGUGCCAGCAGCCGCGGUAAUACGGAGGGCCCGAGCGUUAUCCGGAUUUAUUGGGCUUAAAGGGAGCGUAGGCGGGCGUUCAAGUCAGCGGUAAAAUUGUGGGGCUCAACCGCGCCUCGCAGUUGAAACUGGACGCCUUGAGUUCACUACAGGCAGGCGGAAUUCGUGGUGUAGCGGUGAAAUGCAUAGAUAUCACGAGGAACCCCGAUUGCGAAGGCAGCCUGCCGGGGUGCGACUGACGCUGAGGCUCGAAGGUGCGGGUAUCAAACAGGAUUAGAUACCCGUGUAGUC